UAAGGCAGUGGUAGCGCUGAAGAAUAUUCGUGCAAUUGUCGUUAUUCAUUAUAAAAGGGCGGGUUUUAAAGGAUAUUUUAAAAUUUAAAACAAGCUUUUAAGAGCAGAUGGCGGAUGCCUUGCCAAAGAGAGGCGAUGAAGGACGUACUAGACUGCGAUAAGCUAUGCGGAGCUGUCAAGGAGCUUUGAUGCGUAGAUGUCCGAAUGGGGCAACCCAACUAAUAGAGAUAUUAGUUACUCUUUAAAUAGAGAGCGAACCUAGUGAAGUGAAACAUCUCAGUAACUAGAGGAAAAGAAAUCAACGAGAUUCCCUAAGUAGUGGCGAGCGAACGGGGAAAAGGGCAAACCGAGUGCUUGCAUUCGGGGUUGAGGACUGCAACAUCCAAGAGAACGCUUUAGCAGAGUUACCUGGAAAGGUAAGCCAUAGAAAGUGAUAGCCUUGUAUGCGACAAGGCGUUCUUAGGUAGCAGUAUCCAGAGUAGGCCAGGACACGAGAAAUCCAGGUUGAAGCCGGGGAGACCACUCUCCAACCCUAAAUACUACUCUUUGAGCGAUAGCGAACAAGUACCGUGAGGGAAAGGUGAAAAGAACCGCAGUGAGCGGAGUGAAAUAGAACCUGAAACCAUCUGCUUACAAUCAUUCAGAGCCCUAUGAUUUAUCAGGGUGAUGGACUGCCUUUUGCAUAAUGAUCCUGCGAGUUGUGGUAUCUGGCAAGGUUAAGCGAAUGCGAAGCCGUAGCGAAAGCGAGUCUUAAUAGGGCGAACAAGUCAGAUGCUGCAGACCCGAAGCUAAGUGAUCUAUCCAUGGCCAAGUUGAAACGCGUGUAAUAGCGCGUGGAGGACUGAACUCGUACCCAUUGAAACGGGUUGGGAUGAGCUGUGGAUAGGGGUGAAAGGCCAAACAAACUUAGUGAUAGCUGGUUCUCUUCGAAAUAUAUUUAGGUAUAGCCUCAAGUGAUAAUAAAAGGGGGUAGAGCCCUGAUUGGGCUAGGGCUGCUCGCCGCGGUACCAAACCCUAUCAAACUUCGAAUACCUUUUAUCGUAUCUUGGGAGUCAGGCGGUGGGUGAUAAAAUCAAUCGUCAAAAGGGGAACAACCCAGACUACCAAAUAAGGUCCCUAAGUUCUAUUCUGAGUGGAAAAAGAUGUGUGGCUACUCAAACAACCAGGAGGUUGGCUUAGAAGCAGCCAUCCUUUAAAGAAAGCGUAACAGCUCACUGGUCUAGUGGUCAUGCGCUGAAAAUAUAACGGGGCUAAGAUAGACACCGAAUUUGUAGAUUGUGUUAAACACAGUGGUAGAAGAGCGUUCAUACCAGCGUUGAAGGUAUACCGGUAAGGAGUGCUGGAGCGGUAUGAAGUGAGCAUGCAGGAAUGAGUAACGAUAAGAUAUAUGAGAAUUGUAUCCGCCGUAAAUCUAAGGUUUCCUACGCGAUGGUCGUCAUCGUAGGGUUAGUCGGGUCCUAAGCCGAGUCCGAAAGGGGUAGGUGAUGGCAAAUUGGUUAAUAUUCCAAUACCGACUAUGGAGCGUGAUGGGGGGACGCAUAGGGUUAAGCGAGCUAGCUGAUGGAAGCGCUAGUCUAAGGGCGUAGAUUGGAGGGAAGGCAAAUCCACCUCUGUAUUUGAAACCCAAACAGGCUCUUUGAGUCCUUUUAGGACAAAGGGAGAAUCGCUGAUACCGUCGUGCCAAGAAAAGCCUCUAAGCAUAUCCAUAGUCGUCCGUACCGCAAACCGACACAGGUAGAUGAGAUGAGUAUUCUAAGGCGCGUGAAAGAACUCUGGUUAAGGAACUCUGCAAACUAGCACCGUAAGUUCGCGAUAAGGUGUGCCACAGCGAUGUGGUCUCAGCAAAGAGUCCCUCCCGACUGUUUACCAAAAACACAGCACUUUGCCAACUCGUAAGAGGAAGUAUAAGGUGUGACGCCUGCCCGGUGCUCGAAGGUUAAGAGGAUGCGUCAGUCGCAAGAUGAAGCGUUGAAUUGAAGCCCGAGUAAACGGCGGCCGUAACUAUAACGGUCCUAAGGUAGCGAAAUUCCUUGUCGGUUAAAUACCGACCUGCAUGAAUGGCGUAACGAGAUGGGAGCUGUCUCAACCAGAGAUUCAGUGAAAUUGUAGUGGAGGUGAAAAUUCCUCCUACCCGCGGCAAGACGGAAAGACCCCGUGGACCUUUACUACAACUUAGCACUGCUAAUGGGAAUAUCAUGCGCAGGAUAGGUGGGAGGCUUUGAAGUAAGGGCUUUGGCUCUUAUGGAGC
rnacentral:rRNA from 1 species